UGGGAUGUAGCUCAGGGAUAGAGUGCUUGCCUAGUAUGUAUGAGGUCUUGGGUUCAAUCUCUAAGCACCACAA
rnacentral:tRNA from 1 species